CCUACGGGGGGCAGCAGUGGGGAAUAUUGGGCAAUGGGCGCAAGCCUGACCCAGCAACGCCGCGUGAAGGAAGAAGGCUUUCGGGUUGUAAACUUCUUUUCUCAGGGACGAAGAAAGUGACGGUACCUGAGGAAUAAGCGACGGCUAACUACGUGCCAGCCGCCGCGGUAAUACGUAGGUGGCAAGCGUUAUGCGGAUUUACUGGGUGUAAAGGGAGUGUAGGCGGGACUGCAAGUCAGAUGUGAAAACCACGGGCUCAACCUGGGGACUGCAUUUGAAACUGUAGUUCUUGAGUGCUGGAGAGGCAGACGGAAUUCCUAGUGUAGCGGUGAAAUGCGUAGAUAUUAGGAGGAACACCAGUGGCGAAGGCGGUCUGCUGGACAGCAACUGACGCUGAGGCGCGAAGGCGUGGGGAGCAAACAGGAUUAGAUACCCUUGUAGUC
rnacentral:rRNA from 1 species